rnacentral:RNase_P_RNA from 6 species
AGAGCAGAUCAAAUGAUCGCUGGUUCAGCCCGUAAUAAGGUCUGAGCGAGAGGAAAGUCCGAGCUCCGCAGGGCAAGGUGGUCCGUAACACGGACUGUCCCGAGAAAUUGGGAUAAGGAAAGUGCCACAGAAAACAAACCGCCUGCCCGCCUCUGGCGGGAGUAGAGGCACAGUACGCUGUGCUUCUACUCCGAGGCGUAAGCCUCGGUGGGUAAGGGUGAAACGGCGAGGUAAGAGCUCACCAGUCCAGAUGGUGACAUCUGGAGCUAGGCAAACCCCACCUGGAGCAAGACCAAAUAGGUCCCGUUUUCUCCAUAAUGGAGAAGAAGAACGGCCCGUUCAAUAUACUGAGGAAACCGAUUAAGUAGGCUUCUGGAUGACGGGACGGGUAGGUCGCUUGAUCCCGUUGGCAACAUCGGGACUAGAUGAAUGAUCAUUACCUCAAUAAGGGCCUUUAUUUAUCGGAAUAUGGCUUUUCGGUAGAUCAAGAAGGUCUUAAGAAUUGAGGAACAGAACUCGGCUUAUGAUCUGCUUUAGCA